GACUUUGUAGUGCCAUGGUAGCGCGUCUGACUGCAGUUUUGAAGGUCUUGUGUUCAAAUCACAUCAAAGUCA